AUUGAACGCUGGCGGCAUGCCUUACACAUGCAAGUCGAACGGCAGCACGGGGCAACCUGGUGGCGAGUGGCGAACGGGUGAGUAAUGCAUCGGAACGUACCUUUCAGUGGGGGAUAACGUAUCGAAAGUUACGCUAAUAGCGCAUAUUCUGUGAGCAGGAAAGCAGGGGAUCGCAAGACCUUGCGCUGAUUGAGCGGCCGAUGUCAGAUUAGCUAGUUGGUGAGGUAAAGGCUCACCAAGCCGACGAUCUGUGGCGAGUCUGAGAGGAUGAUCCGCCACACUGGAACUGAGACACGGUCCAGACUCCUACGGGAGGCAGCAGUGGGGAAUUUUGGACAAUGGGGGCAACCCUGAUCCAGCCAUGCCGCGUGAGUGAAGAAGGCCUUCGGGUUGUAAAGCUCUUUCGGCCGGGAAGAAAUCGCACGGGCUAAUACCCUGUGUGGAUGACGGUACCGGAAUAAGAAGCACCGGCUAACUACGUGCCAGCCGCCGCGGUAAUAC
rnacentral:rRNA from 1 species